rnacentral:rRNA from 1 species
UUUAGUAAUUGCGAAUGAACAAGGAUAUGCUUAGCUUGACAAAUGGAGCUAUUGGCUUUGAAUUGUAUUGUGGAAAUGUAUUACCAACAGAGGUGCAGGUGCCAGCCUAUUGAAAUAAAGCGUCAAUGAGGGUGAGAAUCCUGUUUGUCAUGUGCAGCCCUUUGUGCACGGUGUAUAUUUGCUGAGUCACACUCCUUGGCAUUGGAAUGCAAAGUGGGUGGUAAGUUUCAUGUAAAGGUAAACAUGCAAUUGAGACUGAUAGCACACAAGUACCAUGAGGGAAAUAUGAAAAGGACUUUGAAAAGAGAAUUAAAUGAGUUUGUAUUUGCUGAACACAAAGUAAACAGACUUGAUUUGCUUGGUGGGAGUGUUGCACUUGCUUGACAAGAGCUUUGGGCUGUGGGUGUAAUGAUUCUUUCUUUGCAUGCCAGUUUCUAUUUGUACAUCUGAUUACCUUUGCACAUGAAUGAUAAGUCUCCUGUGGGGGGUGGAUUGCAUGUGCAUGUAAUGAUUUGUGUUUUGAUAAAUGUGUCUGGUGUAUGUGUGUGUUCCUGUGCUUGGGGAUGCUUCCUUCCUUGGACUUACAAGCCCUGACACACACAUGCUGGCAAAAUGCUUCUGCUUGACCCGUCUUGAAACACGGACCAAGGAGUCUAACAGAUGUGCAAAGUUUGAAGGUGGUAUACCUUUGUGUGCAAUGAAAGUGUCAGCUGGGAUAUGUGCACCAGCACCCAAUUAAUUAGCGGACAGAGGUUUGAGUUGGAGCAUAUCUAUUAGGACCCGAAAGAUGGUGAACUAUGCCUGAACAGAAUGAAUUCAGAGGAAACUCUGAUGGAGGUUCGUAUCGAUACUGACGUGCAAAUCGUUCGUCAUAUUUGGGUAUAGGGGCGAAAGACUAAUCGAACCAUCUAGUAGCUGGUUCCCUCCGAAGUUUCCCUCAGGAUAGCUGGAGUUGCUCAGUUUUAUCAGGUAAAGCGAAUGAUUAGAGGAAUUGGGGACAGGUUUGUCUUUGACCUAUUCUCAAACUUUAAA